UACGAAGGGGGCUAGCGUUGCUCGGAAUCACUGGGCGUAAAGCGCACGUAGGCGGCUUUUUAAGUCAGGGGUGAAAUCCUGGAGCUCAACUCCAGAACUGCCUUUGAUACUGGGGAAGCUUGAGUCCGGAAGAGGUGAGUGGAACUCCGAGUGUAGAGGUGAAAUUCGUAGAUAUUCGGAAGAACACCAGUGGCGAAAGCGGCCACCUGGACUGUACCUGACGCUGACACGCGAAAGCUAGGGGAGCGAACGGG
rnacentral:rRNA from 1 species